rnacentral:rRNA from 1 species
UACGUAGGUGGCAAGCGUUGUCCGGAUUUAUUGGGUUUAAAGGGUGCGUAGGCGGCCCCGUAAGUCAGUGGUGAAAUAUCUCAGCUUAACUGAGAGGGUGCCAUUGAUACUGCGGGGCUUGAGUACAGAUGAGGUAGGCGGAAUUGACGGUGUAGCGGUGAAAUGCAUAGAUAUCGUCAAGAACACCGAUAGCGAAGGCAGCUUACUAAGCUGUAACUGACGCUGAGGCACGAAAGUGUGGGGAUCAAACAGG